rnacentral:rRNA from 1 species
GGGGGGGGCAAGCGUUGUUCGGAAUUACUGGGCGUAAAGGGCGCGUAGGCGGCCUUCUAAGUCGGACGUGAAAUCCCUCGGCUUAACCGAGGAACUGCGUCCGAUACUGAAAGGCUUGAAUCCGGGAGAGGGAUGUGGAAUUCCAGGUGUAGCGGUGAAAUGCGUAGAUAUCUGGAGGAACACCGGUGGCGAAGGCGGCAUCCUGGACCGGUAUUGACGCUGAGGCGCGAAAGCUAGGGGAGCAAACGGGAUUAGAUACCCCGGUAGUCCUAGCCCUAAACGAUGAGUGCUUGGUGUGGCGGGUAUCGAUCCCUGCCGUGCCGAAGCUAACGCAUUAAGCACUCCGCCUGGGGAGUACGGUCGCAAGGCUG